rnacentral:rRNA from 1 species
AAUGGCUUUAGUGGCGGACUGGUGAGUAACGCGUAAGAAAUCUACCUAUUAGAGGGGAACAACAAUGAGAAAUCAUUGCUAAUACCGCAUAUGCCAUAAACAUCGCAUGAUGAAAGUGGGAAAGGAGCAAUCCGCUGAUAGAUGAUCUUGCGUCUGAUUAGUUAGUUGGUGGGGUAAUGGCCUACCAAGACGACGAUCAGUAGCCGGACUGAGAGGUUGAACGGCCACAUUGGGACUGAGAUACGGCCCAGACUCC